AAAGAAAAAAAAGAUACAGAACUAAAUGGAUGGAACCAGAGGCGAUCAUGCUCAGUGAAGUAAAGAGAAGAUAUCUACCAGAUGGUUUCACUAAACUGUGGAAUAUAGAUAACAUGAACUUGCCAAAAAAUUUAAAAAGUAGCCAAACCAUGACUACUCAAUGACUUUAUGAAAGGGCAGGGCAGAUAGCAUAAUGGUUAUGCAAAGAGACUCUCACGCCUCGGCUCCAGAGGCCCAGGUUCAACCCCCUGCACCACCAUAAGCCAGAGCUGAGCAGUGCUAUGGUAGGAGGAAAAAACUGUGAGAGGUAUGGUGAUUACUGCUUGGGUAACUAUUCUGCUAUCUCCCCAGCCCUACCUCUGAAAUCUUAUAGUGUAAUAAGCCAUAACCACGAAUAGAAAAAAAUAAUAAUAAUAGGUAAUAAAAAUAAUAAAAAUAAAAACAGUGGUCCAGGAGGUGGCGCAGUGGGUAAAGCACUGGAUUCUCAAGCGUGAAGUCCUGAGUUUCAUCCCAAACAGCACAUGUGCCUAAGUGCUAUCUGGCUCUUUCUCCCUCUGCCUAUCGUUCCCAUGAAUAAAUAAACAAAUUCUUAAAAUAAAUAAAUAAAUAAAAACAAAAAAAAGGUAAGUGUACUGGAUUUGGUAAGCAACAAAACUGAAGAAUUUUUAAAAGAUUUUAUUUAUUUAUUAAUGAGAAAAAUAGGAGGAAAGGAAGAGAAAGAACCAGUUAUUACUGAGGGGCCCAGGACUGAACUCAGGACCUCAUGCUUGAGAAUCCAGUGCUUUAUCUACUGCACCACCUCCCAAACCACAAUAAUAAUAUUUUCUUGAAGUGUAUUUUAAAAGUACCAUGUACUGGGGUUGAGCUUAGCACAGUGGGCUAAUCGCACAUGGCGCAGCACAAGACCCUGCGUAAGGAUCCCGGAUCCAGCCCCUGGCUCCCCACCUGUGGGGGCGUCACUUCAACAACAACAUCAACAACAACAACAAUAAUAAUAAUAACAACCACAAAAAAACGAUUUAAAAAAAAUAGUCCAGGGUGGAGGUGUAGAUAGUAUACUGGCUAUGCAGAGUCCCAUUCCUGAGGAUCGAUCCAUAGUCCCAGGUUCGAUCCUCCACACAUCACCAUAAAUCAGAGCUGAGCAGUGUUCUGGUUAAAAAAAAAAAAAAAAAAAAAAAGGAGGAGGAGGAGGAAGAGAAGAAAAAGAAGAGAAAGAAAGAAAGAUAAAGAAAGAAAAAAAGAAAGACGGGCCAGGUGGUGGUGCACCUGAUUGAGCGCACAUGUUACACUAUGCAAGGACCCAGGUUCAAGCCCCUGGUCCCCAACUGCAUAGAGAAAGCUUCAUAAGUGGUGAAGCACGGCUGCAGUUGUCUCUCUGCCUCCCUAUCUAUCUCCACCUUCCCUCUUGAUUUCUGACUGACUCUAUCCAAUAAAUACAGAUAAUAAAAAAAAAAUUUUAAGAAACUUUAAAAAAAAGAUAUUCGGGAGUCGGGCGGUAGCGCAGCGGGUUAAGCGCACAUGGCGCGGGGCGCAAGGACCUGCAUAAGGAUCCCCGUUCCAGCCCCCAGCUCCCCACCUGCAGGGGAGUCGCUUCACAAGCGGUGAAGCAGGUCUGCAGGUGUCUUUCUCUCCUCCUCUCUAUCUUCCCCUCUUCUCUCUAUAUCUCUGUCCUGUCCAACAACAACGACAGCAAUAAAAACAAUAAUAAUAACUACAACAAUGAUAAAACAAGCAGGGCAACAAAAGGGGGAAAAAAUAGCCUCCAGGAGCAGUGGAUUCAUGGUGCAGGUACUGAGCCCCAGCAA